rnacentral:misc_RNA from 1 species
AUAGCAACAACACCGAUGGAGGAUGCCACCGAGCUUGGAUUCAUCUCCUGUCAACAUUCCCGCAGAAGCUUGCCAUGUUCCCACAAGUCGGACCGUGGGGCCUAUUCCGAAUCCCUUGGUCUUCCCCAUCAGUUGGUUCAUGAGGAAAGACUUGCCGGAGUGGAACUUCCCGACGACGGCUAUGGUCGCCACGGGCCCCUCAAUUUUAGACACGAC